rnacentral:rRNA from 1 species
AUUGAACGCUGGCGGCAGGCCUAACACAUGCAAGUCGAGCGGAUGAAGGGAGCUUGCUCCUGGAUUCAGCGGCGGACGGGUGAGUAAUGCCUAGGAAUCUGCCUGGUAGUGGGGGAUAACGUCCGGAAACGGGCGCUAAUACCGCAUACGUCCUGAGGGUGAAAGUGGGGGAUCUUCGGACCUCACGCUAUCAGAUGAGCCUAGGUCGGAUUAGCUAGUUGGUGGGGUAAAGGCCUACCAAGGCGACGAUCCGUAACUGGUCUGAGAGGAUGAUCAGUCACACUGGAACUGAGACACGGUCCAGACUCCUACGGGAGGCAGCAGUGGGGAAUAUUGGACAAUGGGCGAAAGCCUGAUACAGCCAUGCCGCGUGUGUGAAGAAGGUCUUCGGAUUGUAAAGCACUUUAAGUUGGGAGGAAGGGCAGUAAGUUAAUACCUUGCUGUUUUGACGUUACCAACAGAAUAAGCACCGGCUAACUUCGUG